CGCCGCGGUAAUUCCAGCUCCAAUAGCGUAUAUUAAAGUUGCUGCAGUUAAAAAGCUCGUAGUUGAAUUUCGGGACCGAUAUAUCGGUCGUGCCUCGGUACGUACUGGUAUUUUCGGUUUCUCCCUUCUGACGAACCUUGAUGUCAUUAAUUUGGUGUCUUGGGGAAUCAGGACUGUUACUUUGAAAAAAUUAGAGUGUUUAAAGCAGGCUCACGCUUGAAUACAUUAGCAUGGAAUAAUGAAAUAGGACGUUUGAUUCUAUUUUGUUGGUUUCUAGGAUCGACGUAAUGAUUAAUAGGGAUAGUUGGGGGCAUUAGUAUUCAAUUGUCAGAGGUGAAAUUCUUGGAUUUAUUGAAGACUAACUACUGCGAAAGCAUUUGCCAAGGAUGUUUUCAUUAAUCAAGAACGAAAGUUAGGGGAUCGAAGACGAUCAGAUACCGUCGUAGUCUUAACCAUAAACUAUGCCGACUAGGGAUCGGAUGAUGUUAAUUUUUUAAUGACUCAUUCGGCGCCUUACG
rnacentral:rRNA from 1 species